UUGAGGUCUCAGAUGCUUAAGCCAAGGGCUCGGUGCACAUAGUGUUUUCCCUGCUACCUGUGGAUCAAGAUUCAGAGCUCUCGGUUUCUUCAGCACCACGUCUGCCUGCACGCUGCCAUGCUUGAUGAUAAUGAACUAAACCUCCGAAACGAAAUGUUCAUAUCAGUUACAUGACAUGCUGUAUGUAGAACACCUCUCAGGAACUCUGGAGAACAGGAAAGCUGCAACAGCGAAGAUGAAGCCCGUGUCAUUGCGUCAGGGAGAUACUGGAUUCCAAGGAUUGCAUCCUGCAUGAGCCACUUAUACAACAUCAAAUAGUGCACGAAGCCUAUGGGGAGUUGCAGAACUGAAACGAUACAGAAGACAUAUUUGAAACUUUCUAGUAGAAUUAUAUUGUUCUCAGGAUAGAGCCAGAAAUUCUGCACAGAACCCAGAAGACUCAGCUCAUCUGUCCUCACCCACAUUGCACUGUACUGUAGUAUAUUACAGUGUAGUACUUCACUGAUGGAGUGGUCAGCCUAGAUCUGGCUCAUGUCCCCUCUCCCUGGAGUCCUCUUAAUCCCGGACAGCUCUCCACUACCCACUCAGCAGAUGCCCAUUUGGAUAUUCUUUCCUACAGAAAUCGGGAGCCCAAGUCUCUGAGCACAGACAAGAGACACACAUGGGCCUUGACAACUGUUAGGUCCUGUCGUCACUUCUGAAAGAGACAUCUACGAGUGCUUUCAGGCUCAGUAAACCUAUUAGAAGAGCCAAACAGACAUAGACGGCCAUGUUUGAAUCGCCAUUGUCAGUACUUUUGUUCUGAUUAUAAUACCCUGUUUGAAGAUUUGCAUUCUGAGGUAUGCUUAAUUAUAAAACCAUUGCCACUCUAGGCCUCCACAUUAAUACUCUUUUAAAAAUUGGGUCUUCUUAGUUUUCUCUGAGGGGAUAGUGAAAAUAGCUGUUAUAUAUUUUUUAAAUUACUUCAAUAUCAUGAUUUCUUUCAUCAUACUAGAAUCCUGCCAUAACAAGGAAGGAACGUGGGUAAUGGUUAAUGAUUAUGUUCAGCUAAGUGUCCAGAUGUCAAUUUAUCUGUAUUGAUCCUUCAGUUAGCAGCUCUUUUGAAUAUUUAGGCAAGUGUUAAGAAUCCCCAGAGGCAUGAUCUGGUAAAAUGUGACAUUCAACAAGGGAGGGGAAACACACUUAUUCUAUUGGGUUCCUUUGGCAUGUGUUUAUAGUCUGUUCUUUGCUCUUUGAUCAACCAACCAAAAGUGAGUUGGAGCUCACCAUACAAACUUCUUGUUAUUCUUGUUCUGGGAUGCUGGAGGCAUGGCCCAUGGAAAGUGAGUGCACUACUACAGAACUACAUCCCUGCCAAGCUGGAUUUCUGAAGCCAAGACCUCAGGCAGUAGCCACCACCUGUCAACGAGGGUGCAGAAGGU
rnacentral:sRNA from 1 species